CCCCUAGAUGUUCUGGGCCGCACGCGCGCUACACUGAACAGUUCAACAAGUCUUAACCUUGGCCGAUAGGUCUGGGUAAUCUUUGAACGCUGUUCGUGAUUGGGAUAGACCUUUGCAAUUAUGGGUCUUCAACGAGGAAUUCCUAGUAAACGCAAGUCAUCAGCUUGCAUUGAUUACGUCCCUGCCCUUUGUACACACCGCCCGUCGCACCUACCGAAUGAAUGGUCCGGUGAAAUCUCGGGACGGCGGCUUGGUCGCUUGCGUCCGACUGCUGAAACUUGAUUAAACCAUAUCAUUUAGAGGAAGGUGAAGUCGUAACA
rnacentral:rRNA from 1 species